rnacentral:rRNA from 1 species
CGGCGGACGGGUGAGUAAUGUCUGGGAAACUGCCCGAUGGAGGGGGAUAACUACUGGAAACGGUAGCUAAUACCGCAUAACGUCGCAAGACCAAAGAGGGGGACCUUAGGGCCUCUUGCCAUCGGAUGUGCCCAGAUGGGAUUAGCUAGUAGGUGGGGUAACGGCUCACCUAGGCGACGAUCCCUAGCUGGUCUGAGAGGAUGACCAGCCACACUGGAACUGAGACACGGUCCAA